GCUAAUACCGCAUAUUCUGUGAGCAGGAAAGCAGGGGAUCGCAAGACCUUGCGCUGAUUGAGCGGCCGAUAUCAGAUUAGCUUGUUGGUGAGGUAAAAGCUCACCAAGGCGACGAUCUGUAGCGGGUCUGAGAGGAUGAUCCGCCACACUGGAACUGAGACACGGUCCAGACUCCUACGGGAGGCAGCAGUGGGGAAUUUUUGACAAUGGGGGCAACCCUGAUCCAGCCAUGCCGCGUGAGUGAAGAAGGCCUUCGGGUUGUAAAGCUCUUUCAGCCGGGAAGAAAACGCAUGGGUUAAUACCCUGUGUGGAUGACGGUACCGGAAUAAGAAGCACCGGCUAACUACGUGCCAGCAGCCGCGGUAAUACGUAGGGUGCGAGCGUUAAUCGGAAUUACUGGGCGUAAAGCGUGCGCAGGCGGUUUUGUAAGACAGGCGUGAAAUCCCCGGGCUUAACCUGGGAACUGCGUUUGUGACUGCAAGGCUAGAGUACGGCAGAGGGGGGUGGAAUUCCACGUGUAGCAGUGAAAUGCGUAGAGAUGUGGAGGAACACCAAUGGCGAAGGCAGCCCCCUGGGUCGAUACUGACGCUCAUGCACGAAAGCGUGGGUAGCAAACAGGAUUAGAUACCCUGGUAGUCCACGCCCUAAACGAUGUCAACUAGGUGUUGGGAGGGUAAAACCUUUUAGUACCGGAGCUAACGCGUGAAGUUGACCGCCUGGGGAGUACGGCCGCAAGGUUAAGACUCAAAGGAAUUGACGGGGACCCGCACAAGCGGUGGAUGAUGUGGAUUAAUUCGAUGCAACGCGAAAAACCUUACCUACCCUUGACAUGCCAAGAACUUUCCAGAGAUGGAUUGGUGCCCGAAAGGGAACUUGGACACAGGUGCUGCAUGGCUGUCGUCAGCUCGUGUCGUGAGAUGUUGGGUUAAGUCCCGCAACGAGCGCAACCCUUGUCGUUAAUUGCCAUCAUUUAGUUGGGCACUUUAACGAGACUGCCGGUGACAAACCGGAGGAAGGUGGGGAUGACGUCAAGUCCUCAUGGCCCUUAUGGGUAGGGCUUCACACGUCAUACAAUGGUCGGUACAAAGGGUCGCCAAGCCGCGAGGUGGAGCCAAUCCCAGAAAGCCGAUCGUAGUCCGGAUCGCAGUCUGCAACUCGACUGCGUGAAGUCGGAAUCGCUAGUAAUCGUGGAUCAGAAUGUCACGGUGAAUACGUUCCCGGGUCUUGUACACACCGCCCGUCACACCAUGGGAGCGGGUUCCGCCAGAAGUAGGUAGCCUAACCGCAAGGAGGGCGCUUACCACGGCGGGGUUCGUGACUGGGGUGAAGUCGUAACAAGGUA
rnacentral:rRNA from 1 species